rnacentral:lncRNA from 1 species
UGGCUGAAGAAACACAUCAAGUGAUCUCUUAGGAUGCUCUGGUCCAGGAACGAGAAUCGAGAGAAACAAAAACUCUCGUCGCAAACACAAGUUUGGGGGUAGGUUGUAUGGUGUAAGAAUGACGGGCCAUAGAGAAUACUGUCUUCCACUCUUGCCAAACGGACUGAAACCAUCAGUACAUAAUCCAAGGUAGAUAUUUCUUCUCUCAUACGC